rnacentral:rRNA from 1 species
CCUACGGGGGGCAGCAGUGAGGAAUAUUGGUCAAUGGACGAAAGCCUGAACCAGCCAAGUCGCGUGAAGGAUGAAUGCUCUAUGGGUUGUAAACUUCUUUUAUAUGGGAAUAAAAUGUUCCACGUGUGGGAUUUUGUAUGUACCUUAUGAAUAAGGAUCGGCUAACUCCGUGCCAGCAGCCGCGGUAAUACGGAGGAUCCGAGCGUUAUCCGGAUUUAUUGGGUUUAAAGGGAGCGUAGGUGGAUUGUUAAGUCAGUUGUGAAAGUUUACGGCUCAACCGUAGAAUUGCAGUUGAAACUGGGAGUCCUGAGUACUGUAGAGGCAGGCGGAAUUCGUGGUGUAGCGGUGAAAUGCUUAGAUAUCACGAAGAACUCCGAUUGCGAAGGCAGCUUGCUGGACUGUAACUGACGCUGAGGCUCGAAAGUGUGGGUAUCAAACAGGAUUAGAUACCCGAGUAGUC